rnacentral:rRNA from 1 species
AGAGUUUGAUCCUGGCUCAGGAUGAACGCUAGCGGCAGGCUUAACACAUGCAAGUCGAGGGGCAUCGGGAGGGAAGCUUGCUUUCCUUGCCGGCGACCGGCGCACGGGUGAGUAACACGUAUGCAACCUGCCCUCUUCAGGGGGACAACCUUCCGAAAGGGAGGCUAAUCCCGCGUAUAUCGGUUUCGGGCAUCCGAGAUCGAGGAAAGAUUCAUCGGAAGAGGAUGGGCAUGCGGCGCAUUAGCUUGACGGCGGGGUAACGGCCCACCGUGGCGACGAUGCGUAGGGGUUCUGAGAGGAAGGUCCCCCACACUGGUACUGAGACACGGACCAGACUCCUACGGGAGGCAGCAGUGAGGAAUAUUGGUCAAUGGGAGAGAUCCUGAACCAGCCAAGCCGCGUGAGGGAAGACGGCCCUAUGGGUUGUAAACCUCUUUUGUCGGAGAACAAAACCCGGGACGUGUCCCGGACUGCGUGUAUCCGAAGAAAAAGCAUCGGCCAACUCCGUG